UAACCUACGGGAGGCAGCAGUGGGGAAUAUUGGACAAUGGGGGGAACCCUGAUCCAGCGACGCCGCGUGAGUGAAGAAGUAUUUCGGUAUGUGAAGCUCUAUCAGCAGGGAAGAAAGGAAUGACGGUACCUGACUAAGAAGCUCCGGCUAACUACGUGCCAGCAGCCGCGGUAAUACGUAGGGAGCAAGCGUUAUCCGGAUUUAUUGGGUGUAAAGGGUGCGUAGACGGGAAAUUAAGUUAGUUGUGAAAUCCCUCGGCUCAACUGAGGAACUGCAACUAAAACUGAUUUUCUUGAGUGCAGGAG
rnacentral:rRNA from 1 species